rnacentral:rRNA from 1 species
AGUGAACGCUGGCGGUAGGCCUAACACAUGCAAGUCGAACGGCAGCACAGUAAGAGCUUGCUCUUACGGGUGGCGAGUGGCGGACGGGUGAGGAAUACAUCGGAUUCUACUUUUUCGUGGGUGAUAACGUAGGGAAACUUACGCUAAUACCUCAUACGACCUACGGGUGAAAGCAGGGGAUCUUCGGACCUUGCGCGAUUGAAUGAGCCGAUGUCGGAUUAGCUAGUUGGCGGGGUAAAGGCCCACCAAGGCGACGAUCCGUAGCUGGUCUGAGAGGAUGAUCAGCCACACUGGAACUGAGACACGGUCCAGACUCCUACGGGAGGCAGCAGUGGGGAAUAUUGGACAAAGGGCGCAAGCCUGAUCCAGCCAUACCGCGUGGGUGAAGAAGGCCUUCGGGUUGUAAAGCCCUUUUGUUGGGAAAGAAAAGCAGCAGGUUAAUACCCCGAUGUUCUGACGGUACCCAAAGAAUAAGCACCGGCUAACUUCGUG